CCAGCCUGCCCUGCUGCCACAGUGGGCUCCCAUGGCCAGUAGGGAGCCACCAGGUCCUGCUGCCCCACAGUUUCUGAGGUUAAGCUCAGACAAGACUCAGAAAAGCUUCAUUAGAGGUGUUGUAUAGUCUGUCCUGAUACAAAACAAUUCUGUGACUUGUUGGGAUAUUUUACUGUUCUUGCUGCAGGGACAGACCUGGGAUUUGGUUCGCCUCCUGGAUGCAGAUGGUGUCCCCCAAUGGGUCUCCCUGUCCUGCUUGGCCCUGAGACAACACCAGGCCUCCUCUGGGGUGGAAUGAGGCAAGUCCCCAUCUUCAUAUUUUUAGGACUCCUGAGAGAAUGAUGCCAUUCUCUCAUCAGCUCCUCCCAAAACACCAAGACUUGGCAGUUUGUUGAACUUGGAUAUAAUACUAGAUGGAAUUAAGACCACAGUCUUGUGAGGAGCAGCAGAGGGAGCUGGUGUUGUUUAGCCUGGAGAAAAGAAGGCUCAGGGGAGACCUUACUACUCUCUAUGAGUGUCUGAAAGGAGUUCUAUCCAGGUGGGUAUCGAUCUCUUCUCCCAGGUAACAAACAACAGGACAAUAGGAAAUGGCUCAGCCUCUGCCAGAGGAAGUUAGAUUGGAUAUUAGGAAAGUUUUUUUAUGGAAAGGGUGGUCAGGCAUUGGAACAGGCUGGCCAGGGAAGUGGUGGAGUCACCACCCUUGGAAGUGUUCAAAGGGUGUGUGCAUGUGGCUUAGUGGUGAAGAUGGUCAUAUGAGGUUCAUGUUGUACUCGGGGACCUUUCAGGUCUUUUCCAGCCUCAAUGGUUCUGUGAUUCAUGAGUCUAUGCCUGUUGGAUGCAGAUAAUAUCUUCCAUACGUAACGAUUUUGCAAUGGAUGGAAAUGUUCAAAUCACUGGUACAUCAGUGGCACAAAGGGCAACUCUUCUCAUGGUCCAUGCAGCAGCUAAGGACAGAGCAAGGGGUAGGAGCUGCUGGCUCCAGCCACAGACCUGCUUCAGCCAUCACUGAACAAUUGCUUAGUUUGUCUGUUCAUUGCAUUUUUAAAAUAUAAACUGGAAGUAAUCUGGUUUGUUGAUUUCAUUUGCUUUUACAAAAAAAAAAAGGUGACAACACAAGUGACUACUUGAUACAUCUGUAAAUGUGUGGUAUCAGGUAAAGUGAAGGUAUGUUUGGGGGUUUUCCCCUUGAAUAUUUUAUUAAUAUUCCUGUGAUUAGCACUGAGCAAGCUGAGACCUGAAUUUCUACUGCUGUGCUGAGGAGACACCUCCCUCAGCCAAAUUUCUAGUGAAAUUUCUGAAGACAACAAUGGGGAAAGCACCACAGGAUCCCUAGGGGGACAACACCAUCUCCUGACAUCUUUAGACAAAUUGCUGGGGAAGCCUGACACUGAGGCUGCUGGAUUCUGUGGAAUUGACGUUAUCUCAACUUCAGCUUUCCUCCUUGAAACUAGCUCUGUGUAAGUAGAAUGCAAAGUGAUUUUUUUGUAUAUGUGAUAUGAUAAUUAAAGUUAACAUUUUCUCUGCACUUGCUACUCUGAACUGUAAAGGAAAGCCAAAUGAAUUGUCAAGGAGACAUAGUGGAAAUUAAUGAUGGGGAUAGAACUCAGAAGGGCUCUGGACAUCUGGGCUCAGUGCUCUGCUGAACACCAGUAAUUGGUUAAAAUCUGUUAAUAUCACCUGAGGUGAAUGUCCUAAGCUUUCCCUGACAACUCUGCUGGCUUCUAGCUAUGCUUUUGUGCCUUCAUUUCCAGCCCAGGGCCAGACACACUCUUUUCCAUUUCCUUGGGAAGAAGACUGAGUGGAAUUAGCAGAUGACUGCACCAACUGUAUCACCUCUUUGCUCUGUCCCUUGUAGCCUGCACUCACUGCCAGUGGUCAACUUACCUGGCCACAGGUAAUUAGUCCCACACCUGGCUGGAAAACAUGUAAAAUUGUAAGAAGUAUUGCCCCUGUCAAUGAUAGAAAACUGCAAAAAUCUCACUCUGAAAAUGUAGAAAAACAAGUUAAAAGACACCAAUGCUCUGCCACUACAUCACUAAGAUUUGAUGAAAUGACAGUUCUUAAAAAAAAAAAAAAGGAUUUUUAUGUCUGCUUUCAAACAUAAUCUUGAAUAACAACUCAUAUUCCCAGUAUCAUGGCAUGAAACCCUAGACAAUGCAACUACACAAAGUAUAGCUUCUCCAAUGUUAAACCACUAGCAAGGACAAACUAUUUUUAGAGUUGUCAUAUAUUACUGCACCUGAGCUUUAUUGGUCUUCAGAUUAAAAGAGGUUUUUCUUCAGAGUUCACUUGAAUUUUACACUCAUUUACUAAGCCUUAUGUUACUAUUCAAUUUAUUUUAAAGCAGAUUCUUUGGGAAAAAAUUAGAAAGCUAAUUUGAAUUGAUUCUUUGGAGAUUCAGGCUUAAAUGAAGUGCCAUAAAAUUGGCAGUCAAAGUGAAAAAAUAGAAUUGAAUUCUUACUUGUACUACUCAAUGGACACAGGCACCUUGCUCUUUGAUGCUGCUGCUGAGGGUUUUGAUGCAGUGUAUUUCAGACAAUUUAAACACACCUAAGCACGACACUUCACUGAAGUUUUGGUCACUAAGGAACCACAGAGUAUUCCUUGUUCAAUUGGUUUUUAUCAGGUAAAUUUAUGGCUGGCGGGUUCAUAAAAUUCCUCAUUCUCUCCAGGUUUUCAAAACUAAUUCUAUAAAUUCCUAGUGGCAUUAAUCCUAAUAUUGGGUAAGUAAUGGGAGUUUAGCAUUUAGUUGUGGACUUGUCAGGACAAUGCUCCUCACUGAGAACCUCCCCUUUUUCCAUUUCUAAGUGUACCAGAUUUGGAUAAGAAUGUUUUGAGUAUCCAGCAGUUUUAAUGCUCAAUUUAGAACAUUCUGUGACAGGUUUCAGGUUUAGGUAGCAGAUGUGUUUUUCGAGUUUUUUCAGAAACAAUGUAACUUUUAGCUUUUACUAUCCCAUAUUACAGGGCAUUGAAAAUCGUUAACAUUUUCAGACAAUUUAGGCCACCAUGGUCAUUUAUUAUAAAAUGAGUAAAUAUUUUUACAGGUCUUUGGUCAACAGGUCAAGCCUGUAGACAGAAACAUUUUAGACAUCUAGAGACAUUUUUCUCUAGAAAAAUGAGACUGUCUGCUUAACAGAAUUUAUGCUUUUCUGUAACUGUUUGAUACAUUUACAGCUUGGGAAAUUCACAGAAAUAAUGGCUGAGGAGAUGGUUGUUCAAUUUCCUGUCACAUAAAUUACUGAGUAGAUGUUCAUUACUCCAUCCCAGUGCUGUGCUUCCAACCUAAUCAGAGGAAGAAGUAAGGAUUUGGAAAAAUAUUCUGGAGAAAACUCCAGUGCAUGCUAUUAUUUUCUCUGCACAUAUGGCCCUAUAUUAGAAAUGACUGUUAUCUUGUAUGAGUAAAUGUGUGAUGAAACACUGAAACUGAAAAAAAUAUAUAUAUUGCUUUUUCUUAUAAACUUUAUUUGAAAACAAUUUUACUGAAAGUAGCCUUCAUUCUCUGGAUUAUUUUCUGAUGUGCCCAGUUUUCCAAACAAUGUUAGUCAGGAGCAGACAUGCUUAUUUGCUUUAGCUCCUGUUGUAAGUGGACACCUGAAGUCAGACACCAAAGUUGAUAUUUAAAUAUGGAAACUAAAAUCCCCCAGUCUUUCACACAUGCUAAGUUUUGCUACAGCCCUCAGUGAUCUCAGUGGGAGCUGUGGCUGCUUAACAUUUUGAAAAUUUGGCAGUUUUAAGUGAGGUGCUUUGUGAAGGAGAGAGGUGUCUGUCUGCCUUGAUCCAACUGGAAUGCUCCUUGGAACCAGCUGGAAAUGAGGGGGGUGUGAUGCUUCCCUUGUUUGCUGCACUGCCGAGCUGAUGGAGACCUGUGGACUGCUCUGUGCCCCUGGCACUCUGAAAGCAGAGCUUGCUGUUCAGAAACUUUCAGGCACCUGCUAUUCAGAAAAUUUCUUCUACCCCUUUUUGCUUAAGACAUUAAGCAGAAUUUGCCAACAUGCUGGCAGCCACAAACAUGUCAAGCUGUUUGGCUCUGGGAAGUGGCAUGUGGUGCGUUUUCUCAUUCAUAGGGCAGAAUUUUGACAGAGCUGAUCUCUGGAUCCCUGGAAAUCCUUUAGCAUCUGUCAUGCUUACAUAAAGAAUAAAAUUUUCUCAAAGCCAGAGACCUGUCCUCAGUGUAUCUCAAUGGCUAAGAAUCUGAAAUUUCCCUCAAUUGAAAAUGGAAUUGUUUCUGAAUGCUGUGUGCAAUAAGAAUAUAAUAACAUGAAGAAUAAAGAAAAAAUUAGAAAAGUAAAUUUCAUCCAGUUGUCUCUGCUUUGUAUUUCUCUUCUUAGUCCACCAGAAGCCUGAGUCUUUUCUCUCUGUGCAGAGCAGCACUUUGGGAGCAAAGUGAUACAACCCUGAGCCAGAAAUGUCCCUCUCCUUCUUCCACGUGGCUGUGCAAAAAGACAUCAGCACUGUCCAGUUUUUAGAUCUCUGUCUUAUUUAUGUGUUAUAAUAUUAAAAUAAGGCAGGAUAACCUUUUUCCAUAGAUAAACAUGGCUUUCAGACACCAAAUGAAGCACAAGGUUUGGAAACCUGCCUCCUUUCUCCUUGCAGGAUACCUCCUUCCCUCAAUCCUGGCUUUUCCAUCCUGUGGUUUUCAGUGGCUUCUUGGGCUGAGAAAAUCCAUGAAACUUAUACUAGUCCUUGAAGAAGCCUGCUGCUGCCUGGGUUCCCACAGCUCAGGUCUGCUCCCUCCUGCCAGCCUCCUGGUAUACCCCAAGGCCUUCCCUGUGGCCCCAUCUCGUGGUCCCAAGCAGAGGAGGCUCCCAGCAAGCUGUUCUACAAACUUGUAUAAGGAAAGCAAUGGGGCAAUGUGAAAGAAGUAAAGGAGGAAAUUCAAGUGCAGGAAGCAGAAGAAGGAUGAAACAGGAGAGGGUUUUCUUUUCAGAAAAAUGAAAAUGGAAAAAAUUAACAAAACUUUUUAUGGGAAGCUGAGACAAGAGCCUGAGGUCCCUCAUGCAGAGAAUUGAGACCUUGAUCCCAAAUUGCUUAGGCUGAGCUCAGAAAGCCUGUUUUCAAAGCAAAGACUGCUCUCUGUAUCAAUACCUGAAAAGUAUUGGAUGUGUGGCUGACAUACUGAAGUAAAAGAAUAGUGGUAAAAAUCUCUUUCCUAUUCAUUUACCCUUUACAUACAUGAAAGACAGGACAGUAUCAGAAGCAGAGACAAAAAAAGAGACCCAGAUAAUUAGAUGGAACUCAUCUCAGAACUUGAAAACCAGUGAAAUAACCAAGAUGCUGUGAAAAAAUAUCUGCCAUAAUUAAAAUGGCUGAUUGGUGAGAGCUGCAGUGAAGGCCAGUGUAUGAGGCCAUGCUAAAAACAUUGCUGGAAGGAGCCAGCAUACCUGGGGAAGCCCAAAGCCAGAGGAAGUUACAUGAGAAUUUUAAAUCACAGGCUUGCAGGAUGAAUGCUUAGCUUCAAUGGCACACAGCAAACUAGCACAACACCAGAGCAGAUUUGAAGCUCCUCUUCCACAGCCCUGGGCACCAGUAGACUAAAAUUGACAUCAUUUGCUCAAGUCUCAUCUUGGAAGGCUGUCCAGAACAGCCACCAUGGCAGGUCUGAGACACUGUGGCAGCCCAAAGCCCCUGAAGCAGACUUGGGGAUGGAGUGGCUGAAUUUGCUGAGGUGGCAAAGAGGUCUGGGAGAUCUGUCAGCACAGUUGCAGAAGUCACUUGGAGCAGCAUCAUAGCACUUUUUGACUGGUCCUCAGCCACAGUGAAGUGGGAUGCUUUGUAUUUUUAAUCCAUGUCUAUGUUAAAUAUUUGCUGGAACCACCUGAGGAAGUGGCCUGUACUGAGCAGGGUUACCUUUUGCUGAGAUUGGUGCUGUCACACAGGGCAUGGUGGUGAUUCAGCAGUGUUGCUUCAGAGACAGAGCAGAGUUACACCAGGGAGCAAAAGCCUUAACCCUGCCCAAGUCAGAUGUGGGAAAGUGCAACUGCCUGUGCUCAGCAGCAUGAUGAGGGGAGGGCAGAUGAAGGAUGCCACACUGAGAAGGAUAAGAAGUGGGAGAACCACAGAGAAGGGAAAAGGCCUGGGAAGCAGAUGCUGAUGUGAAUAAGGAGGUAUAGUGAGCAUCCCUAUGUUUCAGGCUAGAUCUAGAACAGCCAGAAAAACUGAUUGAAUUUUUGUGGUUGCAACCAAAGUAAAAACCUGUAACUGCUGAGUAAAUUGGAGGAUGACUGAUCAAAGAACUGAAAAGAAAAACUAAUUUUACAAAACAUUGAAAACUAUCAUGCUUCCUAAGAAUUUCUUCAGAGAGACAGCUAGCUAACUUUGGACAAUAUAAAUGUUUUCAUUUUACAUUAUUCUAAAUUCUGCUUCUCAAUACUUACCAGUUUUGUUUUUUUUGUUCCCACUAACCAUAAUGCAUAUGCUGUCUUAUAUCCUGGUUACAUGAGAUUAACAGAUAACCUUAUUUUUCAGUCAGUUUUCAGCAUUUCUGCCACUGAAGAUCCUCUUCUACAGCUUCAAGUCAAAAAAACCUUUGUGGCAGAUUUGGUAUUGCCUGUAAUAAUUUAUGAAUGUGAUGUGUUGACAUGUUUAUUGUGUGCAUACAUUGAGCUACUUCAAUAGCUGGAUUGUCAAGAUGUGUACCCAGGAGAGAGAAGAUGGAUCCAGGCAUACAUUUUUGAGGAAACACUUGGGAAAAAAAGCAAGUGCUCCUCACUGUGAUGUUUUGGCUGGGCCCCUGUAAGGCUCACUGGAGAGAUUUCCCUGGGAGAAAUGUGGGCGCCUGCAAAGAAAGACAUGAAAGACCCCAGAGAAUUUACAGAGGACCAUUUAAACAGAUGUUUUUGUGAGCAAGAUUCUAAAAGGGGUAGGAAAGUGCUCAGAUCUGUAGAUGUUUAAUUUAGUAGAUGCUGGCAAGGCUACAAGAAAAAGUGCAUAUGAAAUAUUUUUUAACCAACAUGCUCUAUUUCAUUGGUUAAGUGGCUCUUCUGUUUUAAAAAUGUUUCAGUCAUGCAGGAAGGCUGAAGGUCUCUCUUCUCAUGUAUAUGUGUGCUUGGAAAAUGCAUGGAGUAUGUAGGCUGGAGCUUGUGUUUGAUAUAGUAUGUGGGAAUCAGAUUAUCCCAUGCAUGGAAAGGUAAAAGCUUAAGGCCUACUAUAAGCAGAAGGCAAGCCAGAAAGAUCACUGGCAACCAGAGACAUAACAGUAACCAUCGGAAGAACAUCACCUUCCUUAGAAGUCCUUACAUAUAGUUCUACUAAUGACUUUUAUUAAACAUUUAAGCCUUAGCAUUCAAGAGAUUCAUAUUUGUUACGAAAAAGCUGUCCCAUUAACACAAAGAACAAGCUGAAACAAAGCUAAUGAGCCUUAAUACUUGCAGGAUAAUUCAAAGUUUAAAGGUGGUAUUAACAAAAAUAAAAUAAGAAAGAGUGGAAAACUACAGUUUCGUUGUUCACUAGAGAACCUGAGUUUUUUUCUUUUGGAUCAUAAAAUUAAAUCUAUUGCUCAACUCUUAUGCUGUUACUAAAGUAGUGCAAAAAUACAUAUAUGUGUAUAAUUAAGUACCCCUAUGUGACCAUAAAAGGUCUCACUGGCUGUUCAAGGGGAAGGCGAGUGGGAUUUGUUGCAGCAGCAUGAAAGAGGGAAUGGCAUUAUGG